GCUUAUCACCAUUCCAGAUUGAAUAUACCCAAUCUCGUCGGAUCUCGGAAGUCAAGCAAUCUCGGGCUUGGUUAGUACUUGGAUGGGUGACCGCUUGGGAAUACCAAGUGUGAUAAGCA
rfam:Ciona savignyi cont_33229, whole genome shotgun sequence.